rnacentral:lncRNA from 1 species
GAGCAGUCAACAUGUAGCAGACAAAGGAGUUGCAGGUCCAGCAUUCCCCGAACCCAGGACCACUGUUUCAGGAAUAGAACCACUCACAAUGGAAUGAGCUCUCCCGUGUCAAUCACAAAUUAAGAAAAUGUUUCACAGUUGUAUCUUAUGGAGCUCUUUUGUCAGUGGUAUGUAUUUCCACUGAUUGUGUUUUCUUGUCAUUUAAGAUGUUUUCCCCAACCUUGAGGCUGGCUAUCCAAAAAGCCCAGUGGAUCCUUCUGGUCUCCAUUGAUGAAAGGAAUGUCUAGAUCCAUCUCCCAUGAUUGUGCUAGCAUCUGAACUCAGUUGGUUUAUAUGGAAGAGAGAAGUGCCUGCAGGAACCAUGCUACAUAUUCAACUGGAGAGGGAAUGCACAUCUUAUGGGAAUGGAAACUUUUGAUUGUUUCAGAUUCUAGAACAUGUUUGAGUUGGUCUUGAAUAAUACAUUGUUGUUCUUUUUUCUAUAUUCAAUUAAGUAAUCACAGAUAUAUAGUCAUUAAGAAUUUUAGGCUGAGAGGGACUACUAAGUAAUUUAGGUGGAUGGGUAAGUUAGGAUAAGACAAGAUAG